CGAGGGGGACAGACGGUAGCUCCCUGGUCUUCUAGGGGGAGGAAAGUCCGGACUCCAAAGAGCAGCGUGCCUGGUAACGCCAGGUCCCCGAUCAAAUCGGGGAAGGAAAGUGGCACAGAAAACACACGGCCCACCCUAACCCUAAAGGUUAGGAGGCAAAGGUGAAAAUGGGAGGCAAGAGCUCCCACACGACAGCUAGGCAACUAGCGGUGCGCCAAACCCCACGCGGAGCAAGACCAAAUAGGGAGAUGGAUGGCUCGUCCGCCACGAUCCCGAGUAGGUCGCAUUAGAUAGAUUACCGUCCUCGACAGAAUCCGGCUUAUCGUCCCCCUCUUUUA
rnacentral:RNase_P_RNA from 1 species